AAUCCGCCGGCUGGCGCCCCUGGAAUGGGGAGGUCGGCCGCCUGGCGGGGCCAGCGGUCCUUAGCGGUGCCUUCUCUCCCCUCUUCCCUCCGCUCCUGCUGUGCGGGAACUGGAGAAUCGUUAGGACGUGGAGGAAGCAGAGAAGUGGAUCAGAGAACAGGAGGGCUGGGAAGAGUCCUGGUUUCUCAAUCCUGACUGAGCAUCUGAAUCACCUGAGAAGCUACUAAAAUGCAGAUUCCCCGACCCCAUCCCCUUAGAGUCAGAGUCUGUGCAUUUAGGGUGCGGCCUUUCUCAGAGGGAUCGACUGAGACCUACUGAACCCUAGAAGUCUUUACCUGAGGCAGUUCCUGCAAUGUACUGUAUAUUUCAUGACAUUCCAUGUAAAAGAUGACAAGACCGAGACCGUUGAGUGACAGAGAUAAGAACUGACUUAUCUAAGGCUCCACAGGUGGUAGAUGGCAGAGCCGAGACCUGAGCCAAUUAUCUUUUCUCCUGCACUGUGCGGGGUAAUACAGCUCGUUUAAAACAAGCUGGAGUCUCCAUUCCGUUUUCCGCGUUGCUUCUCACAACUCACUGUUAGAAUCCAGAAGUAAGAGAACCCGGGGAAGCGUAAGGAAGAUGAAUAGGACAAAGAUUCUAAGAAGGUGGGAAGGAAGAAGGCUGCAGUCUAUUUCAAGUCUGGUGAAUUUCAAUCACUGUAGCCUUUAUUGUUAUUUUAGAGCCACCUAGACCAAAAGAGAAGGAGCUCAAAUUGCUGGUAAGUGCUUAGAUAGAAAUUCCCUUGACUGACUUUAUAGAGAUCUUUAAAGCGUUUUUAAUUGUAGAAAAUUGGGAAAAUUCAGAAUAGAAAGAUGUUCUUUUUUUUUUGAUGCUGAGUUUCGCUCUAUAUUGCCCAAGCUGGAGUGCAGUGGCGCAGUCUCGGCUCACUGCAUCACCGAACUCCUCGUCUCAACUGAUCUCCCUCCUCAGCCUCCUGAGUAGCUGGAACUACAGGCAUGAGCCACCACACCUGGCUAAUUUUUACUUUUUUUGUGUGGAGAUGGAGUUUCCUUAUGUUGCCCGGGCGGGUCUUGAACUCCUGGGCUCAAAACGAUCCACCUGUCUCUGUCUCCUGAGUAACUGGAACUACAGGCGUGAGCCACUGUGACCGUUCAGUUUAUUUUCUUAUAGUAUUCUGACUUUGUGUGUGUGUGUGCAUGUGUGUUUGUAUUUAUAUUUUUUCCUGUUUCCCAAAUUGAGAUCAUAUGCAAUAAGGCAGCUGCUUUUUUCACUUAAUGUUAGGUUGUAAGCGUUUAUUAUACCAUUAAAAUUUUUUUCCAGGUUUCCCAUAUUAUAUAUCUAACCUAAGAGCAAUUAAAUAUGUAAGUAAGGCAAAUUGCAGCAUCUUGAUGCCUAAUUUUUUAAUAAAGUAAGAUUGCUGAAUUUUUUUUUUUUUUUUGGACUAUGCAGUUCUGGUCUCAGGAGUCAUUUAAUUCCUUUCUCCUCUAUAAUCUAUAAUUUGGGUGUGUGUAUAGUCAGGGAUGGGGUGAGAAAGAAGUAAUUAUUCUUGCCAAUUAACCCAAAACAUAAUAUAGAAUAUGAAAUGUCUUUAUUUCCUUCAAUCCCUCUACCCACCCAGAAUGAUGAAUCUGUUUUGUGCUGUUUUAUGUGGACAUAAACACUGGACUAUUUUAUAGGAGACCUGGUCUAUAAAUGAAAAUAUUAUUGCAUUCAGUAGGUAUUGAGUGCCUACUAGAUAGAUGUCAAAUGUUAGGUUAGGACUAUGGUGGGGAAUAAAAAUCCUUUAUAGACAAUGACUCAUCCUCAAGUUACUGCCUUACUAUUUUCUUCAUCAGCAGAGCUUUAAUUUAGUGUCCUCUUGUUCUGUCAUUCACUCCUUAGAUUACAACAAUUUGGUUUCUACCUCCACCAUCCAGUAACAAUUAUUUUGUCAAACCCAAUACCUUCUCUCAGCUGGCAUCUUACUCAGUAUUUGACAAUAUUGACUGUUCUUCUUGACUUCUUUUCCUUCUUUGGCAUGUAUAUCAACUUCUUUCUGAUUUCUCGUUGACUUCUCUCCUUUUACCCAAUUCUCACAUGUUCCUGGCCACCGUUUUUAUAUGUUCACCUUCCUCUUGUCUCUUCUAUUUGUGCAUUCUGUUUACAGAUUAAUUCCAAAAUACUGCAUUCAUGUUUAAUUCCAGAUUUCUUCUGGAUGUUUCCACUGGAUGUCCAACUAAAAAUCACCAUUUCCCCAGCAAAACCUGCCCCUUUUACUGUAAAAAUCUAAUAACUACAUCGUUGUUCACUCAAUUACUCAUGCUAGAAACCUUGGAUGCAUCCCAACCAUGCCUUUCUGCCAGUCAGUCACCAAUCCUGUUGAUUCUACAGCUGAGAUAUUUGGAAUUCUUCCCUCCCUUAUCAUUCCCAUUACCAUUGCCUUGUUCAAGUCCUUAUCAUCACCUACGUGAACUAGUAUUGCAAUGGCCUUUUAAUUGUUCUCCUCACUUCUAUGCUCUUUACACUCCAGACCUUCUUCCUUCCAUGACUCCCUGUUGUGUGUAGCAGCAUGAAUGAUGGCUAAUGUUCACACAUAUAACCUCAGAUUUAUGGGUCAAAUUUCUGGGUCUCCUUUCCAUUUAAUAUUUAUAUAAAAAUAUUUAUAUAAAAAUAGCUCAAAUCCUUUUCCCAGCACACCAUCUAUAUUAUUGAUGGUGGCAGUAAGGAGUUUCCCCUAGCCACUUCUAGUUCCAACUUACUUUUGAAUUUCCAAUUUUACUCUUAUUAUUUGACAGUUAUUUCUCUCCCAAACGAGGAGUAUUUUUUGUUAUUGUUGUUGUUGUUGAAGACAGGGUCUUGCUCUGUCGCCUAGGUAGGAGUGCAGUGGUGCGAUCUCGGCUCACUGCAACCUCCGCCUCCUGGGCUCAAGGGAUUCUCCCACCUCAGCCUCCUGAAUAGCUGGGACCACAGGUCGUGCCACCACACCC
rnacentral:lncRNA from 1 species